UGUGUGACUUUCUUGCUUGGGAAUCAUCUUUUUUUUCUACUGAUGAAAUACCGGUAACGCAUUCGAAAAUCAUAGGCAGCGAUCCAUCUGUUACAUCGCACACCUUUCAGAUUGAUCGAAACUCUCAUAAAGAAUGAGAUUUUAUUUGUCUUGGUUGUGCUUGAAAUCCAAUGUUGUUUAUAUGGGUUUCCAUGGAGGUUUUCUCCAAAGCAGAUCUUGUCCCCAGAAUUUGGGUAACGGUACGACAGUACGCCUUGAAUUUGUGGGUCUUCCC